UCAAGUGCAUUUGAGGAGUUGACUAAGUGGACCACCAGGUCCUGUUUGGAGCUGGGGGAGGGGAGAGACUGAAUCUGGCUGUUUGAUGUGGGUGCUUUUUUUCAAAUUUUUAUGCUGUUGUUUUUGUUGCAUGUGUACAGCAUAUGCGUGUCUGUACAAAGCGGUGUUUGCCUGUUUGGCUCUGGAGGGCAGGUCGGCACAGGUGAGCGAUGCGUCAUAAAUGGCGAUGUUGUGAACGACAGCUUCAGAAAAGGAUCAUUUGAUUAUAUUCCUUUUCACCGAGAACAAAAGGAAAGAGGGAACUUGCCUGCGUGCGUUGGCGUGGCUGCCAGAUAUCCUCCAUGGCGUAGCUGAUGUAGGGCCCACUGCAGACGGAGCACUCCACCAUCACAGGGCUGGCCAGGAGGGGCGAUGCGUGGAUCCCCCAGGACUGACAGCCGCCCAGAUGGAAGUUGGACUCUGCUUCCUUCUGCUGGCCUGCGCCGUCGCCGUGAUGGCGACCCAGCAUCUUCCACUUCCUGACCUGUGAGAACGAGGUUGAUAAUGUUUUUGCAUUAGGCCACUAAAGUUGAAAACCAAACAGGCGGAAUAAAUGACUCAAUAUCCCCGCGAAAGGCUCACAAUGUUGGCGGCAGCAUCUAAACCGACUAAUAUGUAAUCAUACCCAUAAUAACCAUAACUCACAAUGAGUCUUAUUUCCAACACAGCUCCCGAGGGGGAGUUUAGAUUGGAUUUAAUCACAUGCUGAUAACAAAACAACAACAACAGAAAUCUUAAUAAUCAUCAUUGUCCAUCUGUAAAACAGUAAAGCUAUUGGAGCUUGUUGCUCUCCUAUGGGAACAAUGUAUUUCCAGAUUUGGUGGUUUUGGAUUUAUCAAAUAAACUUCCUCUCAUGCGUCUUGUCACAACUUGUCAUUGCGAUGACAAAGAUCUGUUUGUCUGAGUUCAUGAAAAGGUGACGUAAACGAUGUUCAUGGGAAAUCUAUAAUAUUGUCCCUGAUCACAUUCCUGAUAUGUUUCCUAAUCUAAAGCUUAUCAUGUUAUUCCCCAUUAACAGAUCCAGCAGCGUUUUGUUAAAAUAAACAUGUUUUAUUUUAACUUGUA